UUGACAAUUCCUAAUAACAUGGGAUUCUCCUAAGGAAUAAGUAAAAGCAACAGUAUUCCUUACAAGUAGGAAUUUAUUAAGGAAACAAACUACUAAAAACUCAACACCUCUACCUCAGCUCUUCUUUUCAUUUUCGAUUUUCUCUCUGCUCUUCUCCUCUCUCAAUCGCUGUUUUUCUUCAUCCUCAUCGCCUACAGUUCCGGCCACCUCACCGGAAACCACCGCGAUAACAGUGAAAGACUCCUAACACACCACUGCUAAUAUCGGAAUCAUUCAAUCCUUUGGUUUAUAUGACACGCUCCGUCGCGGCUAGGAGAGCUGGGAUGAUUUCUUCUCCUUUUCACUCCCAUGUUCUAUUGAGGAGAGCUUCACUGACAGAAAGUGAUGCAUUUGCAUUUCUAAGGGCCGAUAAUGAAGAUUGUAUUACAUAUUCUGGGUUCUGUGAAGCACUUCGACAGCUCAAUUUAAUUGGCCAUUCUCAUGGGUUGAAUGAGGAAGAGAAAGGAGUUGUGGGUCCAAGCCGACAUAUAUGGAAAUGGUGUUCUUGACUAUAAAGAAUUUAUGUUCGAGGAUCAAUGCCAUUUUGUGUUUGAUAGAUCAUAAUUCAUGACGUUCAGAAUGUAGAGGUAUGGUAUUGUCUACUUUUUUUUAACUUCUAGAUUGAAUAUUAUUGCCUUUUGUUAUGCAAGCAUUUGAUGAGAGGAGAUGAUUUAGUAGAAAUUUCCGACAGCACAUGUUCCAUUCAAAUUUGUUUUGAUCUGAUAAAUUUUGUUGCUUUUGAUAUAGCUACCUCUGAGACUCUUCAAUUUUGUUCUGAUAAUAUUGUUGUGUUUGCAAACAAAUAAUUAUCAUUGGGCUUUCAGACUUUGAAGGUAAUAUGUUUUACUAUCCUUUAGGUUUAUGUAUGAGAUUUGUUUUUAUCUUAUGUGGAUUUGAUAUUGAAACACUUGAAAAGUCAUCUAGAAGGAUAGUUAACACCACCUAUGAAGGUUUUUAGAAGAGAGAUAAAUUGCAAAGGCUAUUUCUACUAAAAAAUGUAGCAAUUAACAUGCCAGUGUUUGUAUCGUUGUACCAUCUUCAUAGUUUUAAUAGAAAGAGGUAAUUUGGUUUUUUAGUGGGAAUUGGCGAAAGUUUUCUAUGGUUCUAUUUUUAUGCAGCUUGAAAGAAAAAGCUACAAUUAGAAGAUAUACGAAGAGUUAUAUCAUACUUUUAAGGCUUUGUGAUCCUAUUGGUUAAGUUCUAUGGUUCACAUAUUCAAUUUGGUUUUUGGAUUUUCUGUUCAAACUUUUUGUUUCCAAUUUAUGUAUGAUAUUUACCAAGAAAACAAGCAUUUAUUCAUGAAUUUGUCUUUAAGAAUUGGAGAGCCGACCUACAAUACAUGGUCCUCAAAGUGUUACUUUCUUUGUUAAAUUUAUUGUAUAUUGUGGUUGAUAUUUUUUGGUUCUAUUAUGGGCAUAGUGUGUAUUUUGGUUCGUUGGCUUUGAUUGAUUUAGAGUAAACCGCAAUUUUUCUCCUUGAAUGUGUUAUGCGAUAUCAUUAUAAUCCCUAUUUGUAUCAAAAUUGCAAACACAUCCUCAAAAGUAUCUUUGCUUAGACAUUUUAGGCCUCAAAAGGUACAUGCUUAUAUUGUUCUGAUCAUAUGUUUGACAGUGUUUACAUUGAUGCUACUGACAAUGCUUUUUUCUUUUUAAUAUUCAGAUUCAACGUUUCAGUUAUUGUAAUGGAAAGAAACAGGAUCUGCCACAUUUGUGGUGAAAAACAAAUAGGGAAUUAACUUAGAUUAUAUGGAUUCAACAGAGAGUAUUCAUAGGGAUUUUGUGACUUCAAAAUGAUACAGGUUAUGUGGUUAUGCAGUAGCCAAAUUCAAUAUUGUGAAGCUUGAAAAAAGAAUGAUUAUGCAGCUUGAAAGAAAAAGUUUACAAAUUAAAAGAUCUAUGAAGAAUUAUAUCAGAAUUUUUAUGCUUUACAUAAAAUUUGUGAGAUUGAUAUUUGAGAUUUGAAAAGUUUCAUGUAAACUAAAGUUCCUUAAUCUAAAGUCAUUAAUCAUGUAAACUUGAUUUGGAUUCCAAGUUAGUUGAUUUUUUUUUCAAUUUUGUCAACAAUUGAACCCAUCAA